rnacentral:rRNA from 1 species
AUUGAACGCUGGCGGCAGGCCUAACACAUGCAAGUCGAACGGUAACAGGAAGAAGCUUGCUUCUUUGCUGACGAGUGGCGGACGGGUGAGUAAUGUCUGGGAAACUGCCUGAUGGAGGGGGAUAACUACUGGAAACGGUAGCUAAUACCGCAUAACGUCGCAAGACCAAAGAGGGGGACCUUCGGGCCUCUUGCCAUCGGAUGUGCCCAGAUGGGAUUAGCUAGUAGGUGGGGUAACGGCUCACCUAGGCGACGAUCCCUAGCUGGUCUGAGAGGAUGACCAGCCACACUGGAACUGAGACACGGUCCAGACUCCUACGGGAGGCAGCAGUGGGGAAUAUUGCACAAUGGGCGCAAGCCCGAUGCAGCCAUGCCGCGUGUAUGAAGAAGGCCUUCGGGUUGUAAAGUACUUUCAGCGGGGAGGAAGGGAGUAAAGUUAAUACCUUUGCUCAUUGACGUUACCCGCAGAAGAAGCACCGGCUAACUCCGUG